rnacentral:rRNA from 1 species
UACAGAGGUCCCGAGCGUUGUUCGGAUUCACUGGGCGUAAAGGGUGCGUAGGUGGUGAGGUAAGUCGGAUGUGAAAGCUCCGAGCUCAACUCGGAAAAGCAUUGGAAACUAUCCCGCUGGAGGGUCGGAGGGGAGACUGGAAUUCUCGGUGUAGCAGUGAAAUGCGUAGAUAUCGAGAGGAACACCAGUGGCGAAGGCGAGUCUCUGGACGACUCCUGACACUGAGGCACGAAAGCUAGGGGAGCAAACAGG